rnacentral:rRNA from 1 species
GGUACGAAAGCGUGGGGAGCAAAAGGAUAAAAUACCCUGGUAGUCCACGCCGUAAACGAUGUCAACUAGUUGUUCGUCUUAUAAACAAGGUGAGUAACGCAGCUAACGCACUAAGUUGACCGCCUGGGGAGUACGGCCGCAAGGUUAAAACUCAAAUGAAUUGACGGGGGCCCGCACAAGCGGUGGAGCAUGUGGUUUAAUUCGAUGCAACGCGAAGAACCUUACCAUCCCUUGACAUCCAGUGAAUUAUCUAGAGAUAGAUGAGUGCCUUCGGGAACACUGAGACAGGUGCUGCAUGGCUGUCGUCAGCUCGUGUUGUGAGAUGUUGGGUUAAGUCCCGCAACGAGCGCAACCCUUAUCCUUAGUUGCCAGCACGUAAUGGUGGGAACUCUGGGGAGACUGCCGGUGAUAAACCGGAGGAAGGUGGGGACGACGUCAAGUCAUCAUGGCCCUUACGGGAUGGGCUACACACGUGCUACAAUGGCGCGUACAAUGGGAAGCAAGCUAGCGAUAGUAAGCGGAUCUCAAAAAAGCGCGUCGUAGUCCGGAUCGGAGUCUGCAACUCGACUCCGUGAAGUCGGAAUCGCUAGUAAUCGUUGGAUCAGAAUGCCACGGUGAAUACGUUUCCCGGGCCUUGUACACACCCGCCCCGUCACACCCA